CAAUAGCGUAUAUUAAAGCUGUUGCGGUUAAAAAGCUCGUAGUUGGAUUUCUGUCAAGGACAACUGGUCCGCCCCUCGGGUGAGCACAUAGUUUGGUCUUGGCAUCUUGUUGGAAACUGUUGCUGCACUUGGUUGUGUGGCGCAGUGUCCAGCACUUUCACGUUGAGGAAAUUGGAGUGUUUCAAGCAGGCACAUGCCUUUGGACACAGUAGCAUGGAAUAAUUAGAUUGGGCUUUUGCUCCAACUUGUCGGUUUCUGGAGCUGAGGUGAGAAUUAAUGGGGAUUGUUGGGGGCAUCCGAAUUUAGCCGUCAGAGGUGAAAUUCUUGGAUCUGCUAAAGACGGACAACUGCGAAAGCGUUUGCCCAGGAUGUUUUCAUUGA
rnacentral:rRNA from 1 species